UGCAAGUGAUGUUUAUCUCACGAUGGUCUGCUGAACCCCACAGUGAAUGGGGUUCUGAUUAAACUGACAUGUGUCUUAGCUGAUGCCUUUUG